rnacentral:rRNA from 1 species
UACGUAGGGUGCAAGCGUUAAUCGGAAUUACUGGGCGUAAAGCGUGCGCAGGCGGUUAUGUAAGACAGUUGUGAAAUCCCCGGGCUCAACCUGGGAACUGCAUUUGUGACUGCAUCGCUGGAGUGCGGCAGAGGGGGAUGGAAUUCCGCGUGUAGCAGUGAAAUGCGUAGAUAUGCGGAGGAACACCGAUGGCGAAGGCAAUCCCCUGGGCCUGCACUGACGCUCAUGCACGAAAGCGUGGGGAGCAAACAGG